AUUUAAUGAAAUGUUGGGGUGGAAAGGCUUUAAAAUAAUCGAUAAUUUGGGUCUAGAAAUAUAUAUUAUGCACGUCUUUUUCUUUGUCUACAGAAUUGGUUCCCAACGAGAACUGAGGACUUAUACAGAGUAUUACAUCUGGUCGGUAUCGUUGUUUGAUUUUUUCGGCACUUAUGUACUGUCAGUGAUAACUGCUUUUCUGGUCACCCGACCCUUCACUGCAAUGACCAAUGCGUGGUUAAAACCAAAAACUUUAUCAAAAACAAAGACAAAUG